rnacentral:rRNA from 1 species
UACGUAGGGGGCAAGCGUUGUCCGGAAUCAUUGGGCGUAAAGCGCACGUAGGCGGAUUGUUAAGUCAGGGGUGAAAUCCUGGAGCUCAACUCCAGAACUGCCUUUGAUACUGGCGAUCUCGAGUCCGGGAGAGGUGAGUGGAACUGCGAGUGUAGAGGUGAAAUUCGUAGAUAUUCGCAAGAACACCAGUGGCGAAGGCGGCUCACUGGCCCGGUACUGACGCUGAGACGCGAAAGCGUGGGGAGCAAACAGG